GAGUUGUAUGAAAGGAGAGAAGGUUAGCACUCCCCUUGAUAAGGAUGGAAGAGGUCCUAGUGACCUUUACAACACGCAUAUGGUUAAGGAUUCCCCAGAGGACUCUCUUAGGGCUGCCAGGAGCUUGG